rnacentral:rRNA from 1 species
CGAAGGGGGCUAGCGUUGUUCGGAUUUACUGGGGCGUAAAAGCGCACGUAGGCGGAUUGUUAAGUCAGGGGUGAAAUCCUGGAGCUCAACUCCAGAACUGCCUUUGAUACUGGCAAUCUAGAGUCCGGAAGAGGUGAGUGGAACUCCUAGUGUAGAGGUGGAAUUCGUAGAUAUUAGGAAGAACACCAGUGGCGAAGGCGGCUCACUGGUCCGGUACUGACGCUGAGGUGCGAAAGCGUGGGGGAGCAAACAGGAUU